rnacentral:rRNA from 1 species
UACAGAGGUCUCAAGCGUUGUUCGGAAUUAUUGGGCGUAAAGCGCGUGUAGGCGGCUUUGCAAGUCGGGUGUGAAAGCCCUCGGCUCAACCGAGGAAGUGCGCCCGAAACUGCAGAGCUUGAGUACCGGAGAGGAUGGCGGAAUUCCCCAAGUAGAGGUGAAAUUCGUAGAUAUGGGGAGGAACACCGGUGGCGAAGGCGGCCAUCUGGACGGAUACUGACGCUGAGACGCGAAAGCGUGGGGAGCAAACAGG